CCUACGGGCGGCAGCAGUGGGGAAUAUUGCUCAAUGGGGGAAACCCUGAUGCAGCGACGCCGCGUGAGGGAAGAAGUAAUUCGUUAUGUAAAGCUCUUUCAGCAGGGAAGAAAAUGACGGUACCUGAGUAAGAAGCACCGGCUAACUACGUGCCAGCAGCCGCGGUAAUACGUAGGGGGCAAGCGUGAUCCGGAUUUACUGGGUGUAAAGGGAGCGUAGACGGGAGUGCAAGUCUGGAGUGAAAGGCGGGGGCUCAACCCCCGGACUGCUCUGGAAACUGUACGGCUGGAGUGCAGGAGAGGUAAGUGGAAUGCCUGGUGUAGCGGUGAAAUGCGUAGAUAUUAGGAAGAACACCAGUUGCGAAGGCGGCUUACUGGACUGUAACUGACGUUGAGGCACGAAAGCGUGGGGAGCAAACAGGAUUAGAUACCCGGGUAGUC
rnacentral:rRNA from 1 species